AGAAUCAACGCUGGCGGCGCGCUUAACACAUGCAAGUCGCACGAGAAAGUGGAGCAAUCCAUGAGUAAAGUGGCGUACGGGUGAGUAACACGUGGAUCAUCUACCUCUUAGUGGGGAAUAACCCUGGGAAACCGGGGCUAAUACCGCAUAAGCCUGAGAAGGGAAAGCAGCAAUGCGCUGAGAGAGGAGUCCGCGGCCGAUUAGCUAGUUGGUAGGGUAAAGGCCUACCAAGGCAAUAAUCGGUAGCCGGCCUGAGAGGGCACACGGCCACACUGGCACUGAAACACGGGCCAGACUCCUACGGGAGGCAGCAGUGGGGAAUCUUGCACAAUGGAGGAAACUCUGAUGCAGCGACGCCGCGUGAGCGAUGAAGCCCUUCGGGGUGUAAAGCUCUUUCGACGGGAACGAUAAUGACGGUACCCGGAGAAGAAGCUGCGGCUAACUACGUGCCAGCAGCCGCGGUAA
rnacentral:rRNA from 1 species